CUAGCUUCCUAUUAUGUGCCUAUCUCAAAUGAAUUUUAGUAUCAAUUUUUUGCAAUUCGACACUGCAAAUGUUCAAGUAUUAUAUGCCGUGGAUUAUUUUCUUCAUUUACCGUUUUGGAAUUGUGGUUCCCAAACUAGGGUAAUCAUGCUACAAAUCUUUUUGUUCUCUGACUGAUUUAAAUUAUAUCACCUGCAGAGCAAUCGUUUGAAG
rnacentral:misc_RNA from 1 species